AUUGAACGCUGGCGGCAGGCCUAACACAUGCAAGUCGAACGAGUGGCGGACGGGUGAGUAAUGUCUGGGAAACUGCCCGAUGGAGGGGGAUAACUACUGGAAACGGUAUCUAAUACCGCAUACCCUCGGAUGUGCCCAGAUGGGAUUAGCUAGUAGGUGGGGUAACGGCUCCCCUAGGCGACGAUCCCUAGCUGGUCUGAGAGGAUGACCAGCCACACUGGAACUGAGACACGGUCCAGACUCCUACGGGAGGCAGCAGUGGGGAAUAUUGCACAAUGGGCGCAAGCCUGAUGCAGCCAUGCCGCGUGUAUGAAGAAGGCCUUCGGGUUGUAAAGUACUUUCAGCGGGGAGGCGUUACCCGCAGAAGAAGCACCGGCUAACUCCGUGCCAGCAGCCGCGGUAAUUC
rnacentral:rRNA from 1 species